GACGACGGGCGGCGUGCCUAAUACAUGCAAGUCGAGCGAACAGACGAGGAGCUUGCUCCUUUGACGUUAGCGGCGGACGGGUGAGUAACACGUAGGUAACCUACCUAUAAGACUGGGAUAACUUCGGGAAACCGGAGCUAAUACCGGAUAAUAUUUCGAACCGCAUGGUUCGAUAGUGAAAGAUGGCUUUGCUAUCACUUAUAGAUGGACCUGCGCCGUAUUAGCUAGUUGGUAAGGUAACGGCUUACCAAGGCAACGAUACGUAGCCGACCUGAGAGGGUGAUCGGCCACACUGGAACUGAGACACGGUCCAGACUCCUACGGGAGGCAGCAGUAGGGAAUCUUCCGCAAUGGGCGAAAGCCUGACGGAGCAACGCCGCGUGAGUGAUGAAGGUCUUCGGAUCGUA
rnacentral:rRNA from 1 species